ACGGGGGGGAGCAAGCGUUGUUCGGAUUUACUGGGCGUAAAGGGCGCGUAGGCGGUCUGGUAAGCGUGUGGUGAAAGCUCGGGGCUCAACCCCGAGUCGGCCGUGCGAACUGCUGGACUGGAGCACUGUAGAGGCAGAUGGAAUUCCGGGUGUAGCGGUGGAAUGCGUAGAGAUCCGGAAGAACACCGGUGGCGAAGGCGGUCUGCUGGGCAGUGGCUGACGCUGAGGCGCGACAGCGUGGGGAGCAAACAGGA
rnacentral:rRNA from 1 species